rnacentral:rRNA from 1 species
GUGGGGAAUCUUCCGCAAUGGACGAAAGUCUGACGGAGCAACGCCGCGUGAGUGAAGAAGGUUUUCGGAUCGUAAAGCUCUUUCGUUAGGGACGAACGUGCUCUUUGUGAAUAAUGAGGAGUAAUGACGGUACCUAAAUAAGAAGCCACGGCUAACUACGUGCCAGCAGCCGCGGUAAUACGUAGGUGGCAAGCGUUGUCCGGAAUUAUUGGGCGUAAAGCGCGCGCAGGCGGGAUAUCAAGUCUGUCUUAAAAGUGCGAGGCUCAACCUCGUGAGGGGACAGAAACUGGUAUUCUUGAGUGUCGGAGAGGAAAGUGGAAUUCCAAGUGUAGCGGUGAAAUGCGUAGAGAUUUUGAAGAACACCAGUGGCGAAGGCGACUUUCUGGACGAUGUCUGACGCUGAGGCGCGAAAGCUAGGGGAGCGAACGGGAUUAGAAACCCUGGUAGUCC